rnacentral:rRNA from 1 species
AUUGAACGCUGGCGGCAGGCCUAACACAUGCAAGUCGAGCGAGCGGCGGACGGGUGAGGAAUGUCUGGGAAACUGCCUGAUGGAGGGGGAUAACUAUUGGAAACGGUAGCUAAUACCGCAUACUCUCUGACGUGCCCCGAUGGGAUUAGCUAGUGGGUGGGGUAACGGCUCACCUAGGCGACGAUCCCUAGCCGGUCUGAGAGGAUGACCAGCCACACUGGAACUGAGACACGGUCCAGACGCCUACGGGAGGCAGCAGUGGGGAAUAUUGCACAAUGGGCGCAAGCCUGAUGCAGCCAUGCCGCGUGUGUGAAGAAGGCCUUCGGGUUGUAAAGCACUUUCAGUGGGGAGGCGUUACCCGCAGAAGAAGCACCGGCUAACUCCGUGCCAGCAGCCGCGGUAAUAC